CAGCAGGAACUUGCACCAGUCUUGCAUGGGAGAAAGGAAUAAAAGAGAAAGAGGUGGGAUGUAUAUAGCAAGCCAGACUGGAAGUAGAGUAAUAACAAAGUAUACAAGUGUGAUGUUUUGAAUAAGAUCUUCAGAUUCUCUAAUUCAUAAACACCUCCCAUGGCCUGCUCCCCAAGACAUACGUCAGAUUUUAGAAAAUGAAGAGGUUUUUGCUAUAAAGCCUGCAGAAUCAGUGGCAAUUGUUUCAUAGUCACCCAAUCAACGCCGUUUCUACAGCCACUGGAAAUGGCCAAGAUAAACAAACACCGCUCACGCUGCUUCUUCUUGUGCUCCGCUACUGCAGAGGUGAACUCUCAGCCAGGAUGUAUGCUAAGUAAGGAAAAACAUUAGCUGUUAUUUUAAGAUGGAAUGGACAACUGAUACUGACAGAACCUCUUUUGGACUUCAGG
rnacentral:lncRNA from 1 species